UACAGAGGGGGCAAGCGUUGUUCGGAAUCACUGGGCGUAAAGGGCGCGUAGGCGGCUUUUCAAGCGUGCGGUGAAAGCUCGGGGCUUAACUCCGAGUCUGCCGUGCGAACUGGGAGGCUUGAGUCUGGUAGAGGUCGAUGGAAUUCCGGGUGUAGCGGUGGAAUGCGUAGAGAUCCGGAAGAACACCGGUGGCGAAGGCGGUCGACUGGGCCAGAACUGACGCUGAGGCGCGACAGCGUGGGGAGCAAACAGG
rnacentral:rRNA from 1 species